rnacentral:rRNA from 1 species
UCGGGAAUUUUAGGCAAUGGGCGAAAGCCUGACCCAGCAACGCCGCGUGAGGGAUGAAGUAUUUCGGUAUGUAAACCUCGAAAGAAUGGGAAGAAUAAAUGACGGUACCAUUUAUAAGCUCCGGCUAACUACGUGUCAGCAGCCGCGGUAAUACGUAGGGAGCAAGCGUUGUUCGGAUUUACUGGGCGUAGAGGGCGCGUAGGCGGCGCGGCAAGUCACUUGUGAAAUCUCUGAGCUUAACUCAGAACGGCCAAGUGAUACUGCUGUGCUAGAGUGCGGAAGAGGCAACCGGAAUUCUUGGUGUAGCGGUGAAAUGCGUAGAUAUCAAGAGGAACACCUGAGGCGAAGGCGGGUUGCUGGGCCGACACUGACGCUGAUGCGCGAAAGCCAGGGGAGCAAACG